rnacentral:rRNA from 1 species
CCUGAGUACGGCCCAGCACGUGAAAUUGGGUCGGAAUCUGGGAGGACCAUCUCCCAAGGCUAAAUACUAACUAGUGACCGAUAGCGAACAAGUACCGUGAGGGAAAGGUGAAAAGAACCCCGGAAGGGGAGUGAAAUAGUUCUUGAAACCGUGUGCUUACAAGAAGUUCGAGGCCGUUAAUGGCUGAGAGCGUGCUUUUUGUAGAAUGAACCGGAGAGUUACGAUUGCGUGCAAGGUUAAGGUGCAAAGACUGGAGCCGUAGCGAAAGCGAGUCUUAAUAGGGCGAAUCAGUACGUAGUUGUAGACCCGAAACCGAGUGACCUAUCCAUGGUCAGGUUGAAGGUGGGGUAAUACCUACUGGAGGACCGAACAAGUGGGUGUUAAAAAACCCUUUGAUGAACUGUGGAUAGCGGUGAAAUUCCAAUCGAACUCGGAGAUAGCUGGUUCUAUCCGAAAUACAUUUAGGUGUAGCCUUGCAAUUAGCUUACUGGAGGUAGAGCACUAUUUGGUCUAGGGGCCCUUCAAGGGUUACCAAAAUCAGAUAAACUCCGAAUGCCAGCUAAGUAUGUGCAGGAGUCAGACGGUGAGUGAUAAGAUCCAUCGUCAAAAGGGGAACAGCCCAGAUCACCAGUUAAGGUCCCUAAAUAUAUGCUAAGUGGAAAACGUUGUGAAGGUGCAUAGACAACUAGGAGGUUGGCUCAGAAGCAGCCACCCUUUAAAGAGUGCGUAAUAGCUCACUAGUCGAGUGCUCUUGCGCGGAUAAUGUACCGGGGCUAAGCAUAUUACCGAAACUGUGGAUGCGUAAGCAUGGUAGGAUAGCGUAAUUAACGCGAUGAAGGAUGACCGUAAGGACAUGUUGGAGCGUUAACUAGUGAGAAUUCCGGUAUGAGUAGCGAAAGAUAGGUGAGAAUCCUAUCCACCGAAUGAGUAAGGUUUCCCCCGGAAGGCUCGUCCGCGGGGGGUUAGUCGGGACCUAAGGCGAGGCUGAAAAGCGUAGUCGAUGGACAACAGGUUGAUAUUCCUGUACCGAUAUUUAAUUGCCGAAGGAAGGACGCAGAAGGAUAACACAGGCCACUAUUGGAUGUGGUUUUAAACAGUUAGUCUUCAUAAGAGUCAAAUGCUUUUAUGUUUAAGGAUAAGCUGUGAAUGUACCAAGUUUACUUGGAAAUUGUGUGAUUUCACGCUGCUGAAAAAAGUUUCGUAGGAAGAAAAUAUUGCCCGUACCGCAAACCGACACAGGUACUCAAGUGGAGAACACUAAGGUGAGCGAGUGAACUAUUGUUAAGGAACUCUGCAAAAUGAGUCCGUAACUUCGGAAGAAGGACUGCUGGUUUUAUACCAGCCGCAGCAAAUAGGCC